AGGACUUCGCGGGCGUUGGCGGAGACGUGAGCUAUCUGAAGACGACGGGCGACGUGAAGCUCUAUACGCCGGUCGUGGCGGACAUUGUCGGCGUGCUGCGUCUCCAGGGGGGUGUGCUCAAUAGGGUAUCCGCAUGCUGGAUCACUUCCAGAUGGGACCGAAUCUUGUGCGCGGCUUCGCGCCGGUUGGCAUUGGCCCGCGUGAUAUCAGCAACUUUGCAACGACGGGCUAUGGCGAUGCGCUGGGUGGUACCAAGUACUGGGGCGCUUCGGCUGAGUUGCAGAUGCCGUUCUGGUUCCUGCCCAAGGAAGUUGGUCUGAAGGGCGCGAUCUAUGCCGACGCCGGUUCGGUGUUUGGCUAUGAGGGGGUGACGUCGCUUUCGGGCGCUUCAUGUAA
rnacentral:misc_RNA from 1 species